GGGAAUUUUUUCAGGCCCAGCAGUGGCAUCACAGAGCUGAGUUGCUCGUGGUCCUUGGAAAAGGCCAUGUCCCGGAGGACUGGUCCUGAGUCCACCACCUGCACAGUCUCAUAUUGGAGGGCAUUUCCCUUGGGCCCAUCAACCCGGAUCUGCAGAGAAGAGAAAGGGGAAAGCUCCUGUUGCCCUAUGCCUUACUCUACAGUGCACUCGGUUAUUAUGCUUAUUGUGUGACCUCUUCCUGGAAUGUAGAAACCUUUAUUAAAACGUAUCUCUUGAA
ensembl:antisense Plxna4os3 plexin A4, opposite strand 3